ensembl:antisense Gm15939 predicted gene 15939
GAGGGAUGGAGCAGUGGAGAGAGAUGGUGGCUGAGACCCGCCUGAGGAUUCACCAGGGAGCAGCCUCGACGACCUCAUCCAAGGACAGCCAGCCUGUCAGCAGGAAGGGUGGGGACCCGCAGAGCUAGGACCUCGCUGCCCGGCCAGCCUUUUUUGCCUUCGAGAGAGGAAGAGAAGGGAUGGGAACGCCGGGACGGUGCAAGUCCACUAGGGCUGCGGCCGCCUUUACCUUUGUACGCCUAAGCGGUAGCACGGCGCGGCCCGCAGGGGCUGUUCCACUGCCCCCAGAGCCACUGGGUCCCGCGCGCCCCUGGGGCUUCCGCAGCCACUCCUGAGCCCGCUGCUGCUAAAAGAGGAUCCGGCUCAUCCCAACUCUUGAUUAUCCCAGAAGAGAGCUCCUAGCGUUGUAAGCGCUCACACAUGCUCUCCGCUCCUCUCUCUGCCUCUGCCUCGUAGGGGUAGGAACGAAUUUUGGGACACAUUCAAAUAUCCCAAGCCCCAAGUUCAGCCUGCUCUGGUCUCCAGGUCCCAGCCAGGUCCAGCUAUAACUGAUCUAGUGGAACAGCUAUGGCCUCACAGCAUCCCCAUGCUCCUCCUCGCUUUGUGUGCAAGACCCGGGAGUGCGGGGUAGAGUAGCCCUUGAUUUUGCAACUUAAUUAAGCUUUACUAUGUUUAAAGCACCUUUUUACUCUGCUGGGUAGACCUUUCUGCUCAACAUUCUUCAAAACAGGACUGGCAAGUGUCCUAGGAAGAUUCUCAGGGCUAGUAUCACUCACAACUGUAGAAAUUUGAACAUUUCAAAGAGGAAUUCAGGACCUUUUUCUUGAAUUAAUUCAAAGCAGUCUUAGAAAAGUGAUUUUCUUCUCAAGAACAGUCACCAUGGUCAUCGAGGAUAAGCAAUAGCCAUCAGGAACCCAGGACAUGGUACAGAAUGCUCAGAAUUGGAAGUGACUAAUAGUAAAGUGAUCUAUACUAUCAUCAUACUGGGCCAGGCCAUAUCAAGCCCCAUAUCAAGCUCCUACAACCAGGACUGGAGAAGUCUAAAUGACCCUUAGAGAAGGGGCUGUUACUUCUGUGUGUCUCUGCAAAGAAUCAGAGUCUUUUUGCUGUUGUUGCAAGAGUAGAAGAAACCACGGAUGUGGGAAAUUCAGAAUUUUUCAGCUAUACAAANNNNNNNNNNNNNNNNNNNNNNNNNNNNNNNNNNNNNNAGGCAGAAACCUCUCGGGCCGGGCGGACCCCUGUGCUCUCACCAGGAAGGUGGCCGGUUGUCUGGAGCCGAAGAUGGCGCCGCCUCAGAACAGGAAAAUCUUUUUAUGGUUCUUGUGAAGCUCACAGUUUUACUGCCAUGUAUAUUUAUUUAUAUAUUUCCUUAAAGCAUCUCAUUUAUUGUAGUUAUUAAAUUGUGUUUAUUUACUUGAGCUGUUAGAGGCAGUUUCUUUGAAUUAUACAUUGUAUUCAAAGCCUUAAGGCACCCUAACUUAAAUUCAGAGGACAUACACUUUUGUCCUUUUCUUAUACUAAAUUGAUCAUGGAGACAAGUGUACACAGUGGCAUUGUGUUUAUGGUGUGUGAUUGAAGGCCAUGAUGAAGUUAUAUAGUUGAUAUUUGAAUGACCCUAAAAACAAAUUUAUCGCAGAAGUAAAAAUACAAUGAAAACAACCCUAUGUGUUUUAUUAACAUGUGGAACUCUACAGCAGUAAUUGCUGAUAGUGGUAAAAUACUUUUGGUUUAUCAGAGACAGCUUUAGAACACAGGGCUGCUACAUGCCUGCCUCAUCGAUCUGGAUGAGUGCUCUAAAAUCUUCCUGUGGGAUCAAACAGGAGGACUCCAUUCUCCAGUGACCUAACUCUUAAGUGUGGCCCAUUCUUAAAAUAAUAUUUUUCACUGGAGUUUGGUUGCUUGGAACACUAAAUGGCUUACUCCUUGUAAGACAUAAUCCAAAACCUCCUGUCAGAGAUUUAUGGAAUUUCCACAUACACUCAGCAAGUGAAAAAUUUAUUCUCCAAUGUAUUUCUAUGUUACACAUGAUAUAGAAAGCUGCCUGGUCUAAACUUGCCUGAGUUAAAUUUAAAUGUAUUUGCCAGAAUAAAAUUCCC